UUCGCAAUAAACCGUGUGAAAAGUUUUUUCGGUACAAGAUGGACCCGCGUCUGAUUAGCUAGUUGGUGAGGUAACGGCCCACCAAGGCGACGAUCAGUAGCCGACCUGAGAGGGUGACCGGCCACAUUGGGACUGAGACACGGCCCAAACUCCUACGGGAGGCAGCAGUGGGGAAUAUUGCACAAUGGGCGAAAGCCUGAUGCAGCGACGCCGCGUGAGCGAAGAAGUAUUUCGGUAUGUAAAGCUCUAUCAGCAGGGAAGAUAAUGACGGUACCUGACUAAGAAGCACCGGCUAAAUACGUGCCAGCAGCCGCGGUAAUACGUAUGGUGCAAGCGUUAUCCGGAUUUACUGGGUGUAAAGGGAGCGUAGGCGGUUUUACAAGUCUGAUGUGAAAGCCCGGGGCUCAACUCCGGUAUUGCAUUGGAAACUGUAGAACUAGAGUGUCGGAGGGGUAAGUGGAAUUCCUAGUGUAGCGGUGAAAUGCGUAGAUAUUAGGAGGAACACCAGUGGCGAAGGCGGCUUACUGGACG
rnacentral:rRNA from 1 species